GGGCCCGCACAAGCAGCGGAGCAUGUGGUUUAAUUCGAAGCAACGCGAAGAACCUUACCAGGUCUUGACAUCCAGUAAAAACCUGAGAGAUCAGGUGUGACUUCGGUCAUACUGAGACAGGUGGUGCAUGGUUGUCGUCAGCUCGUGUCGUGAGAUGUUGGGUUAAGUCCCGCAACGAGCGCAACCCUUAUCGUCCGUUACUAACGCGUUAUGGCGAGGACUCAGACGAGACCGCCGGGGACAACUCGGAGGAAGGUGGGGACGACGUCAAAUCAUCAUGCCCCUUACGACCUGGGCUACACACGUGCUACAAUGGGUACAACAAAGAGACGCGAGACCGCAAGGUGGAGCAAAACUCAUAAAAGUACUCUCAGUUCAGAUUGUGGGCUGCAACCCGCCCACAUGAAGUUGGAGUUGCUAGUAAUCGCGAAUCAGCAUGUCGCGGUGAAUACGUUCCCGGGCCUU
rnacentral:rRNA from 1 species